GCACAUCUGAAUUGGUAUCGUCGAGCUCAAGCACUUGAUGGAUCGGAGUUUCAUUUCCGUCACCAGUAGCUUCUUUCCGCACAUCACCAACGCGCUUAAGCAACUGGCCAAGAGUGCGAGAAACGCCGGCUGCGGUGCGUGAGGGAAAGGGGUCGAGCUUCAUACUCUGAGCGUAAAACGGCAGCGUAUCUCUAGUAGGAGAGAAAUUCUCCGCUACAACGCGAGACAUAAUUUUUAUAGACAAGGAAGUGUUCGAGCGUGUUUAUAGAG
rnacentral:misc_RNA from 1 species